AACCAGAAGGCGCAAUGAAAGUGAAGGCACGGCCGCCGUGCUGAGGUGAGAGCCGUCCCCGGGCGGCGCAUCAUCGACCGAUCCUAUCCGCUCCCCCGUGGUGCGGCGGGAUUCGAGUAAGAGUGCAUCUGUUGCGACCCGAAAGAUGGUGAACUAUGCCUGAAUAGGGUGAAGCCAGAGGAAACUCUGGUGGAGGCCCGUAGCGAUUCUGACGUGCAAAUCGAUCGUCAAAUUUGGGUAUAGGGGCGAAAGACUAAUCGAACCAUCUAGUAGCUGGUUCCCUCCGAAGUUUCCCUCAGGAUAGCUGUAGCCCGAAGCAGUUUUAUCAGGUAAAGCGAAUGAUUAGAGGUAUCGGGGAAGAAACUUCCUCGACCUAUUCUCAAACUUUAAAUAGGUAAGAAGUCCGACUUGCUCAAUUUGAAGCCGGACACAGAAUGCUGGGUUACUAGUGGGCCAUUUUUGGUAAGCAGAACUGGCGAUGCGGGAUGAACCGAACGCCGAGUUAAGGUGCCAAAGUCGACGCUCAUCAGAUCCCACAAA
rnacentral:rRNA from 1 species